UGGUGAAGUACCACGAGCUUUAUUGUAGAGGCACCAAUACCAGGAGGGUGGGUGGCUCCUGCUCAGAAACCUGGAACUCCCUGAAGGGUUUCCAUGAAGCCAGGUGAGGGAGGGGUUCCCAGGGCAGGUGAUGAGCUUGUGCACAAUUCUCUGAUUGGUUGAUGGUGAUCAGUUGUUAGGUGCUGAAUCAUGCUCAUUGAUCAACAUGUAAUUUCUUCCAUCUGGUAGUGGUUUUAAUUGUUGGAAAAACAACUCAGGAAACGUGCAUCCUAUGCUAUCAUCUAGGUGCUUCAGGGAAGAGCUAAAGCAGGGGAUGUAGGGGAGGGGCCUGUCCUGGGAAGCCCCCAAAGGGUCCUGCUGAGUUAAAAUACAUGUGGCUUUGGUUCAUUUAUUUCUCAGUACCAUGCGGUGGUCCCUUCUCCUGUUGAUAACCAGGUUGUUUCCAUAUCACGAGACACUGACCACCCAUAUAGCAAGGAACUUUCUUCCACCUAAUUUCUCCAGGAGUUUCUCCUAAUAGUGGAAUUGCUGUCUCAUAGAAUGUUCAUUUUCAACCUUACGGUCAGGUUUUAUGAUAUUCCUAAGUCCAGUGGUCAUAAAAACGAAACCGCUAACAUUGUGCCUAUGCGUUUUGGUAAUGAAAGUGCAUCAGAAAUGCAAGAGCAUCAGAACAACAAUGAUGACGAUUAGGAUAUUUGGGCUGGGAUGAGGACUGGUAGAAAUUACAAGAGGAAACUCGUAGCAUUUUGUGUUGUUUGCUACUUAGUCGAAGUAAAGCGCAUAUAUAAAUGCCGACUUAGGAUGACCAACUGUCCUGGCUUGUCCCAGGCUUUAAGGUUGUCUAGGACUGGGGACUUUCAGUGCUAAAACCGGAGUAUCCCAGACCAAUGAAUGGGUGGUCACUCUAUCCCCUAUUUGACCACUUUGGUUCUUUUUGGCGGAUUCCUGAUGGUCUCUGAGAACAAACCCACUCGUAGAAUUAAGAUGAGACAGUAAUUCCAAGACAAAAUAAAAGAAAGAAAAGGGAAUGGAACAGUUGGGGGGAAAGAAAAACCAGGAAUUUUAACUCAGGUGCUGUUCCCAGACACCGACUGGCCUCACCGAAAAUCAACUGGUUGCUUGUGGAAAACACUGAUUUACAGGCUCCUCUGCUCCUUCUCGCCUCACCCAGAGGUUCUCCAUCUUCAGAGAACUUCGCAGAUUGCUGGGACUCGCUGCAGAGACGCAGAGUCAGAGUUUGCAUUUUAAACAAGUCCACGAGUGGUGAAAACGCUGCCGCUUCAGGACUACACUUUGGGAACCACAGGACCGGAGACUCAGAUCAAAGUUCUGUGGUUCACGUAGGACUUCUCUCUCAAGGCCUCUCAAGGCCUCUCCAGGCAGGAUGAAUCCAUGACCUUCGGUGCUUCCUCGCAAGUGGAAAUUACCGCCACCGCAGCACUUUUAUCACACCGCGUUGAAAUGACUUGGUUAAACAUCAACCUGCCUCUUCUGCGAGCUGUGCAGGGGUGGCUUUUACCUUUGUAAGCAUGUCCCAGCCCCGAAAGGCAAUGCUAGGACACCAGCGGUGACCACCAAACCUUCUUUGGUUUAAUAAAUCAAGGACUUGAAACAUCAGUCAGUCAGUCAAGGCCUUGAGGGCUGGUUCAGAGUAACUGUGGAACAAUGCUGUGACGCUAAGUCCAAAGAAUGAGGAUGAUGGAAAGGAGGACGAUGGUGGUGGGUCACUCCAGCCCCAUCAGCCUGACCUGCCCAGCAUGUCUUGAAGGCCCUCUUGCAGAAGGCGGAGGACAAGUUCUCUCUCUAGGAGCUGGGGUGAACUGCUAUCACUAACACAUCCUCUGAGCCUAAUCUGCUGCCAGCAUUCGGGCAUCUCAGUAGAGGGCCAGCUGAGUAUCCCGACUCAACCCCUUGAGAACUAAAGCUUCACUUUGCCUAGAAGGGGGGCGGGCAGGGAUUGACGAAAAUCAUUUGUUCCUAUGGUAUGCUCUAGAGAGUGCAAAGAUAGCUCCUCUCUUGGCCUCUUCUUGUCCCAGAUUUCCACAAUUAGAGAGUCAUUCCUUUAGGAUUUUGUCUCUUGGGGAAGGGCGAACCUUCUCUAAUCUUCCUGGUCUGGUGAGAUGUGCUCACUAGACGAAGGCAUCUCAAGGAAUUUGUCUUAUUUAGCAGUAUGCCCUUAAUGCUUAGCCUAGUCCUUUGCAUAUAAUAGCUACUCCAGAAACGUUCGUUCAUUAAAUGAACAGAUGCUUGAUAACUGCUGGCAGUUGGGGCUGGAGAGAGUGGUGGAGUGGGGGAGAGGGCCCUCGGCUAGGAGUCCUCUGGACAUGGCCGUCACUGCUUCACUCUGCAAGCAGGGCCAGGCAGGUCCUUCCCCAGGUCCUGGUUCUCCCAUGGGAACAGUGAGAGUCUAGAUAGCGGGUAUCAUCUGAUAAGACAUAAGGUUCCAGCCCCUGGGCAUUUUCUUUUUCCUUAAAAAGCCAGAUGCCUUCCUACCUUAGGGUCUUUGCGCCUACUAUGUCCAGUGCAUGAAUUACUUUCAUAAUUUUGUGUGGAGAUUUUCCUGGUGUAAGGCUUCCUCCUCUCAUCUCCUCAACCAGUUAUUGUGUAUCUGAGGCAGGAAUGAUUACAACUUGCAUCUUUUUCUGUCUACUUGACUUCGCCAUAUCUGAGUUUUCUGGAAGACGGCAGGUUCCUGGAGAGCAUGGGACUGUGCAAAUCCCAGGCACCCUACCCCAUAGCCAGCACAUAGUAAGUGCUCCUGAGUGAAUUUGUUGAACUGAAGCCGGAAGUCAGAGCCGAGGUUGUGUCCCUCCAAGGAAUAGCAGCAGGUGGCGCCACAGACCGGGAGGCGGCAAAGCGGACCGACGGGCAGGCCUCAGUGGGGCGGCCUCACCUGGCGGCAGCUGCACCUGCCCGCCCCGCACCCCGUGGAAACCGAGAACCCGGGCCCUGGCGUCACCUGGGCAAUUGGGAAAGCAGCGCCCGGAGCCAAGGGGAGGGGAGAUGAAAGGCGGGUGGCGGGUGUGGGCUGCCGGCAGCGCCAGGUGAGGGCCAGGAGCCCCACCCUUCGCUCCAGGACCAGUUACCUCCUGCUGCCUGCAUAUCGUGAUCACCCCAGCAAGUGGGCUUUGAAAGGGGAAGGAUGCCUGCAAUCUGGGCCAGAAAAAAAUUGCCAGGAGAGAAGCAUUGCUGCGGCUGAUUCAAGCGACUGACAGUUCCAUCAACGAACUUGUAAAACUCCUGACUCUUUAACCAGCGGCGUCCAGCCCACUCCUGGAUCGCCUUUCAGAUUGGACGGCAGGCUGCCACGCUGGUUACGACAAUUGCAAGAGCACCCUGGGCGUCCUUGGCCCUGCUGCUGCCCGAGUGCUACUUGACGAGCCCCGUCUGUGCAAUGGGUCUGGCCGGGCUGGGCUUCCUGGUCUCCAGCUCUGAGCUCUGCGCCUGUGGGAGGCCGAGACCCCAGCAUACAGCAGCUGGCAUCCUCCUGGCAGGACCCACUGGCAGUAGAAACUCGAGAAGGGAGCCAGCCCUGAGUGAGCCCCAUGGGCAGGGAUGCUGAGAUUCAUUUGAAGCAGCCCACAGGGAAGGGUGUCACUGAGGAAACAAAACCCAGACCCCCCAGGCCUCUGGCUGAGGGGUGGGAGCAUGCUGGGAAAGCACUUCCACCUGAGAAGCACAAAGGACCCCAGGAGGAGAGGAAGCUGGCCUGAGGCCAACCGGAGCUUUGUGCACUGAUUCCCUGAUCCUCCAGCCUGACAGAAAUGUUUGCAAAGGAGCCUUAUUUGAAUAGGCAGCAUACGGCAUGGAGUAAAACACUCAAGAUGGUGCUCAAUAGACUAUGAUGACCUUGGAAGGGCCUAGGCAUUAAGGCAGGAAACCCAAAGGGACAGCAAUCAGGAAGAGGAUUCCUUCCUUGCCUUCUCCCUUUCAAUGGAAGUGGGAUAAUUCAAUCAGUCCACAGACCUAAGGCCUCAUCAGCCAGCAAGGG